UUUAAAUGUGAAAUUUUAAACCAGGGUAGUAAUAGUUAUGUUCUUGAAACCCAAAGAAUUUGGCGGUGUUUUAGUCCUUUCAGAGGAAUCUGUCCCGUGAUCGACAUUCCACGAUAUGAUGUACUUACUUUUGUUUUCAGUUUGUAUACCUCCGUCGUAAGAGAAUCUUUUCAGAGUUAAAUUUUCUUAAUAUACUAAAUUUAUUAUGUCAGGUCAAGGUGCAAUUUAUAAGUAAGCGGAGAUGGAUUACAAUAAGUUUAUUUAAACGGAUUAGAAUAUUUAAUUUUCUAUAAAGGCGGAUUUGAUUGUAAUUUUAAUUGUUUAUUAUCAUGAUUCAUGGCUCUAAAACAUGC
rnacentral:rRNA from 1 species